GGUGUAGCAACAUCAGUCCCUAUCAGUACCAUCUACCGUCGGAUUUCAUAUAGAUUUGUAGGCGGAUAUGUUUAACAGUGAUGAUUUGGGUUCUGAUUUGUGACUGCAGGGUUUGAUAAGUGGAGAUUCCGGUGGUGGAAGCUUUGAAGAUCGACAGUGACAAAGGCGGUUAGGGUUCCGGCCGCGAAACCGGCUUUCUGGGGUUUAAUCAUUGAUGUUCAUCAUUCGGAUCUCCAACGAGGAUCUAUGACUGUAGAUUAUUAAAAAUUUGUUCCAGCAAUCUACACAGUGUUUAACUGUCUUAGGUUGAAUUGGGUAUCUGCUAAGCAAACUAUAUGUUAAGCCUGUUGCGUAAGCUGGAAUUGGCACUCUGGCUUCUGGAGUUGCAAAGGAUAUCAGACCGGACUUGAGGUUGGCCAUACUUUGGUCUGAGAAGAUUUACAAGUUGGCUUUAAUUGUGUUUUCAAAUUCGACGCACCUGUGUUACAUAUCACCUCUUUUACCCUUUGGAUAAAAGUACCUUAAGCGCCCAUAUAUAAAUCCACUCGACUACUAACUUCAUCUGUUGGGAACUUUCUUUUAUCAUUUGUGUUAUAUCAAUUUCUCUAAGUUUAAUUUUCUUUUGUACAUUUAGGAACCGGAAGAACCUCCACACCAAGUUCUUGUCUUCUUACGUGUUGUAUUUUUGCUUCUGUAAUGUCGCUGGUUUUUUCUGUACAUAGUAACUGACAGACUACAUCACUUUUGGGAAGCUUGGCUAAAUGAUCUCAUUCUGUUCUACCCACGAUUCCCUAAAUAGAAACCAACCAAAGUAGGAAUAUCUCCUCAUAUGGUGUGUAAAUUAGAGGAAAUCAUAUUUUUUGUAUCAAUCUCUGUACUCUCUGUGCUAAAUUGUAAUUUAAAAGACUUAAUUUA